rnacentral:lncRNA from 1 species
UGAGGAUCCUCUCCUUGGUGAUGUUCAGGUCUACCCUGAGAAGGGAACUGUCGCCUUCUCUGCUGGUCUCCAUGGAUGGGCUUUCACGCUGACCAACUUUGCGAAGAUGUAUGCUUCGAAGUUCGGUGUGGACGAGACUAAGAUGAUGGAGAGGCUGUGGGGUGAGAAUUUCUUUGACCCUGCUACAAGGAAGUGGAGCGGCAAGAACACUGGGUCCGCUACCUGCAAGCGUGGGUUUGUGCAGUUCUGUUAUGAGCCCAUCAAGCAGAUCAUUGCUACUUGCAUGAAUGACCAGAAGGAUAAGUUGUGGCCUAUGUUGCAGAAGCUUGGUGUGCAGAUGAAGUCUGAUGAGAAGGAGCUCAUGGGUAAGUCCGUUAUUGCCCAUGUCGACCAUGGUACUUACUGUCUUUUUUUUUUUUUUCAAAGACUAAAAAAUCAUUUUACUAGUGUUACUCAGGUUCUCUCUUCUCUUAUGAUUUUUGUGAUUGACGACAGGUAAAUCCACCCUCACUGACUCCUUGGUCGCUGCUGCUGGUAUCAUUGCCCAAGAAGUUGCUGGUGAUGUCCGUAUGACUGAUACUCGUGCUGACGAGGCUGAACGUGGUAUCACCAUCAAGUCAACGGGUAUCUCUCUCUACUACGAGAUGACCGAUGCUUCCUUGAAGAGCUUCACUGGCGCCAGAGAUGGAAACGAGUAUCUUAUCAACCUCAUUGACUCUCCUGGCCACGUUGACUUCUCCUCUGAGGUCACUGCUGCUCUCCGUAUCACCGAUGGUGCCCUUGUUGUCGUCGACUGUAUCGAGGGUGUCUGUGUUCAGACUGAGACUGUGCUGCGUCAGGCUCUUGGUGAGAGGAUUAGGCCCGUGCUCACUGUGAACAAGAUGGAUAGGUGUUUCCUUGAGCUUCAGGUUGAUGGUGAGGAGGCUUACCAGACGUUCCAGAGGGUUAUUGAGAACGCUAAUGUCAUCAUGGCGACGUAUGAGGAUCCUCUCCUUGGUGAUGUUCAGGUCUACCCUGAGAAGGGAACUGUCGCCUUCUCUGCUGGUCUCCAUGGAUGGGCUUUCACGCUGACCAACUUUGCGAAGAUGUAUGCUUCGAAGUUCGGUGUGGACGAGACUAAGAUGAUGGAGAGGCUGUGGGGUGAGAAUUUCUUUGACCCUGCUACAAGGAAGUGGAGCGGCAAGAACACUGGGUCCGCUACUUGCAAGCGUGGGUUUGUGCAGUUCUGUUAUGAGCCCAUCAAGCAGAUCAUUGCCACUUGCAUGAAUGACCAGAAGGACAAGCUGUGGCCUAUGUUGCAGAAGCUUGGUGUCCAGAUGAAGUCUGAUGAGAAGGAGCUCAUGGGUAAACCUUUGAUGAAGCGUGUCAUGCAGACUUGGCUCCCUGCAAGUACCGCAUUGCUUGAGAUGAUGAUCUUUCACCUUCCGUCGCCCCACACUGCACAGAGGUACCGUGUUGAGAAUCU